UGCUAGGUUAAUAUUAUAUUAAGAACCAUAGCAGAUUUGUUGUAUUGCCACAAGACUUGCUAUGGGGGCUGAUGUAAUAUAUUUCUCGUGCAUUAAAGAUGCUUACGGUAAUUUUAGAUUUGCUGCUUUAUUGUAUUAUUACAAGAACAGUUAUAUUCAAAUUUGACUGUAUGAUGACGAAAGAUCUUACUUAACUAAAAUAUUAUAGUUUGUUGUAUUACUAUAAGGC
rnacentral:lncRNA from 1 species